rnacentral:misc_RNA from 1 species
GAAGGUAAAUUUCUUCUUCAGGUUCAUUUUUGAGAGCAUUCUUGGCAAUACACUGGAAAGCAGCUUCUACAUUGAAACCCUCCUUUGCAGAAGUUUCGAAAUAAGGAAUAUCUCCCUUGGAGGCACACCAUGCCUUAGCUUUCUUCUCAGAUACCACACGACUAUUGCCACCAUCGACAUCUAUCUUGUUCCCCAGUACAACAAAUGGGAAGUUUUCAGGAUCAGAAGGGCUGGCCUGAAUCAGAAACUCCUCUCGCCAGUUGUUAAGGUUUUCAAAUGAUUUCAUUACAUUCACAUCAUAGACAAGAACACAACAGUCUGCCCCACGGUAAAAUGCCACUCCAAGGCUUUGAAAUCUUUCCUGCCCAGCUGUGUCCCAUAUCUGCAAUGUAAAAAGCCUAUCCUCAAACUGAACUUCUUUAGUCAAGAAAUCAGCCCCAAUUGUUGCUUUGUACUGAUUACUGAACUUGCGAUUCACAUACUGAUUCAUGAGAGAUGUCUUCCCAACCCCGCUAUCACCGAGGAUAAUGACUUUAAGAAGCAUCCGUCUCCGAGAAGCCAUUAUUGGAUUCGAAAGCUAAAUUUGGAUUCUGUGUUACAAAAACAGGAAGACAAUACUUCUUG